GGGGUACUGUAAGUGGUAGAGUAGCCUUGUUGCUACGAUCCACUGAGGUUAAGCCCUUGUUCUAAAGAUUUGUUCAACUUUGUUGGACUUUCUCUUUUCUUUUUACAUGCUGAAACCUUGAGGGCCGGGAUAGUAUCCUUUGUGCACUCGCGACAGCAUGUUACUUGCGUUCGAACGGGUAAGCUAACAACAACUUUGUGUUUUGUUACCUUUCUCGUUUGAAUCAUGAGUUAUUAUGAGCCUUGAAGGCUUAGAAGGAACUUGGUUAGCAAGCUCUAAACGCGCGCUGACUUGGAACGGUCUUUGCCUUGUACUUGAUAUCGACCUUAUGGCCGAUAUCCCGCAUAUGGUAUAGCCAAGAUCCUUGAAAGAGCGAGUUAAUGAGUGAUUUUCUGGAUCGUCAGUGAGCUUGAAUGCCUGCCCUAAGGUUGCCAUGAAUGAAAUGGCCUUAGGAGCUAAGUAAGCUAAGCUACGGUUACCUUUCUAGCCGUUGUAACCGUUUACUUAGCUUUCUAGGGCUACGUUCAAACUUUGAACGGCAACUGGUCCUGAACCGAAAGGUUUGCUAUGUAAACCUUUAGUCAAGACCUGUUUGCAACAAAUUUGGUGGCUGCAGGGCGAGUUUCCAUUGAUUUGGCCUAUAGCGAAAGUUGGUAACAAAACGCAAUAAAAUGCAUACUUGU
rnacentral:misc_RNA from 1 species